rnacentral:lncRNA from 1 species
GUAACUAUGAAGCCAGCUUCUGUGUAUUUAAUGUCAAAAAACAAAAUCAUCUGUUUGAUGAGUUGCCUAUAAAUAACUCCCGAAAUAUCAAAGACUGGUCAACUUAUACAGAUGAGGAAUAUGUUGAAUAUGGCCAGCCAAUGAAGGUAGGCUAUUUUUAAUUAAUUAAUUAACCGGUGUCAAGUGAGAGCGCCACGAGACGCUGUAGCGCACACGAACCUAGGCAACGAAGUGAGGAAGGGAGAACGAGCGAUGGUGAACCAAUGAAAAGGCGCCUAAAUCUAAACUGGCUCUGCUUUGCUAACAUUUCUUUCCGGAUCGGUUUGUGCUGUCCAGGCGCGACAUCCAGAGGACUCCGUCUGGGUGCGUGCAUCUGUCCAAACGGAAAAAGACGGAGGAAGACAUUAGGUAAUCUUUCCUCAGGACUUGUGCUACAAAACAACUACAAAACAACUCCAACCUUUGCAUUCAAUCAGCCCCGGACCAUUACUGAAAGCUUCCACCUGACUGAGGAGGACAGUCAGUCUUGCUUCUGGUACAACAUCCUGGGAUAUCUUUAUUUUACACCUCCCAUCCAGCAGUUCUUAUCCACCUACUUUGAUCACAACGGGGGGGGGGGGGAGUUUACCACCACUGACUUCUGAGAAUCCAUCCUGUGAGCUCAUCUGGUUUUGAACCUUGCUGCGUUGCGUUCCCAGUCCAUUUGUCGUAACCCGCGCCAUCUGGUGUGUUUCUGUUGAACACCUUGAGGAACUAACCAAGUAGGACUAGUACACUGCUACAGGGUGACCUGAAAACAGGCCCGGUCAGGAGAGAAAUGAAAGGAGUCUUAUAGCUUGGGAAGAACACACACAUGUGGCCUCUGAGGGGGCUGUGCAGUAGCCGUUGGUGGUUUUCUCCCAGAGCUGUAAAGGCUGAGGUGAUAUCUCUCCAUUUAACCUCCCUGUGUGGAGAAAUCUGUUCCUGUAUCCUCCUCACGCAUGUUGAAGGCUGACCGGGACUCAGCCAGCCUUUCUUAUUUAUCUGUCUACCCUGACCUUUUUCUCCCAUUACCACGUAUCUUCUUGCUGUCUCUCCACCACACCCAUUCCUGUCACACGCACUCUCUCUACUCUGACAAUCAACAAUGCUUGCAUACCAAUUUGACUUUCAUUUGUCGCAACCCAAGCCACCAGAGCCCGAGUGGAAGCACUGACAUUUGGAGUGCAGCGUGGUGUCUGUUGCUGUGUGGACCGUUCCAAACCUCCACCCCCACCCCACCCCACGACCCCCUGGCAAUGGUCCUGGCUGUAAAUGUCACAGUGCUGGCUGGCUGAAUCAUCCAUAGGGUGGCUUUCCACGGGCCAGCCAUCUCUGUGGGAACCUCACUGUGUCUCAGGGAACAGACGCUACUUCUCAGCUCUAGUCAGACCCUGACAGCUGCCUUAUGGGAUUUCCAGUUUUGGUUUAAUUAGAAAGAUUCAGUCCGACCCCGAGACCCCAUUUGCAUUAUACUUGGAGGGAACUUGCAUUUAAAUAUAUUUUUUUGGUUGUCGUUUUGUUGUUACCCCCUUCACCGGAUUCAAAUAGCAGCUGGAGACCAGGAGUAUUUGAAUGCAGGUUUUUACCAAGUCAUUGUGCUGGAUUACACAGGCCCUGUAAGGGUCACGCCUUGUAGGUUUUUCCCUCAGUUUUUCUCCAGGACCCUCUCCCACUUGACACUAACAUUUCACAAGGAUAAAGCCAGGCACACACGUGUACAAAAUCUCCUUUCAGAAUAUUCCUCCCUGAAGGCGAGUUCACGCCAAUCCCAUGGAAUUCUCACCAAUGUAAGAAGCCCACGACUACAGUGAUAAGGGAAAGAUAGCGUAGAUGGCUUCCCCGCAAUAAAUCAAUUGGUGGGGUGGAGGCAUCCAGUGGUGUUGGGGGGGGAGGGGGGCAAGGCGGUCAGUUGCGCUUUCACUCUUUCUCCAUCCCAAUCUGGUUGAGACAGGGCGUCAGGGGGUGGGGCAGAAAUACCGGACGCUGACCCACAGUGCUACUUAGUUUUCGUUUUUUCGUUUUUAGUUUGCCUGUUGUUUUACACCCCCACCCCCCCCCCCACGCUGCCUGUGUGUAAUGACCCGUCAG